CAAGGAAUUUUCCGCAAUGGGCGAAAGCCUGACGGAGCAACGCCGCGUGGGGGACGACGCCCUUCGGGGUGUAAACCCCUUUUCUUGGGGACGACGACCGACGGUACCCGAGGAAGAAGGCCCGGCUAACUACGUGCCAGCAGCCGCGGUAAUACGUAGGGGCCGAGCGUUGUCCGGAGUUACUGGGCGUAAAGCGCGCGCAGGCGGCUCGUCAAGUCCGGCGUGAAAGCCCCCGGCUCAACCGGGGAGGGUCGUCGGAGACUGGCGGGCUUGAGAGCGGCAGGGGUCGGUGGAAUGCCCGGUGUAGUGGUGAAAUGCGUAGAGAUCGGGCGGAACACCCGUGGCGAAGGCGGCCGACUGGGCCGACUCUGACGCUGAGGCGCGAAGGCGUGGGGGAGCGAACGGGAUUAGAUACCCCGGUAGUCCACGCAGUAAACGAUGCAGACUAGGCGUGGGGGGACUUGACCCCCUCCGUGCCGGAGCCAACGCGGUAAGUCUGCCGCCUGGGGAGUACGGCCGCAAGGCUAAAACUCAAAUAAAUUGACGGGGGAACUGGUGUC
rnacentral:rRNA from 1 species